CCUACGGGUGGCAGCAGUGGGGGAUAUUGGACAAUGGGGGGAACCCUGAUCCAGCGACGCCGCGUGAGUGAAGAAGUAUCUCGGUAUGUAAAGCUCUAUCAGCAGGGAAGAAGAAAUGACGGUACCUGAGUAAGAAGCCCCGGCUAACUACGUGCCAGCAGCCGCGUUAAUACGUAGGGGGCAAGCGUUAUCCGGAAUUACUGGGUGUAAAGGGAGCGUAGACGGUGAUGUAAGUCUGGAGUGAAAGGCGGGGGCCCAACCCCCGGACUGCUCUGGAAACUAUGUGACUGGAGUGUAGGAGAGGUGAGCGGAAUUCCUAGUGUAGCGGUGAAAUGCGUAGAUAUUAGGAGGAACAUCAGAGGCGAAGGCGGCUUACUGGACCAUAACUGACGCUGAGGCUCGAAAGCGUGGGGAGCAAACAGGAUUAGAUACCCCUGUAGUC
rnacentral:rRNA from 1 species